GGGAUAACUACUGGAAACGGUAGGUAAUACCGCAUAACGUCGCAAGACCAAAGAGGGGGACCUUCGGGCCUCUUGCCAUCGGAUGUGCCCAGAUGGGAUUAGCUAGUAGGUGGGGUAACGGCUCACCUAGGCGACGAUCCCUAGCUGGUCUGAGAGGAUGGCCAGCCACACUGGAACUGAGACACGGUCCAGACUCCUACGGGAGGCAGCAGUGGGGAAUAUUGCACAAUGGGCGCAAGCCUGAUGCACCCAUGCCGCGUGUAUGAAGAAGGCCUUCGGGUUGUAAAGUACUUUCAGCGGGGAGGAAGGGAGUAAAGUUAAUACCUUUGCUCAUUGACGUUACCCGCAGAAGAAGCACCGGCUAACUCCGUGCCAGCAGCCGCGGUAAUACGGAGGGUGCAAGCGUUAAUCGGAAUUACUGGGCGUAAAGCGCACGCAGGCGGUUUGUUAAGUCAGAUGUGAAAUCCCCGGGCUCAACCUGGGAACUGCAUCUGAUACUGGCAAGCUUGAGUCUCGUAGAGGGGGGUAGAAUUCCAGGUGUAGCGGUGAAAUGCGUAGAGAUCUGGAGGAAUACCGGUGGCGAAGGCGGCCCCCUGGACGAAGACUGACGCUCAGGUGCGAAAGCGUGGGGAGCACACAGGAUUAG
rnacentral:rRNA from 1 species